rnacentral:rRNA from 1 species
AACGAACGCUGGCGGCAGGCUUAACACAUGCAAGUCGAGCGAAGACUUCGGUCUUAGCGGCGGACGGGUGAGUAACACGUGGGUAACCUGCCCCGAUAACCGGGACAACCCGAGGAAACUCGGGCUAAUACCGGAUGUGCUCGCCGGACACCAGUCCGGCGAGUAAAGGAAGCUUCGGCCUCCGUAUCGGGAGGGGCCCGCGGCCCAUUAGCUAGUUGGUGAGGUAACGGCUCACCAAGGCCGCGAUGGGUAGCUGGUCUGAGAGGACGAUCAGCCACACUGGGACUGAGACACGGCCCAGACUCCUACGGGAGGCAGCAGUGGGGAAUCUUGCGCAAUGCGCGAAAGCGUGACGCAGCAACGCCGCGUGGGGGAAGAAGGCCUUCGGGUUGUAAACCCCUUUCAGGAGGGACGAAGGUUCGGCGGUGAAUAGCCGUCCGGACUGACGGUACCUCCACAAGAAGCCCCGGCUAACUACGUGCCAGCAGCCGCAGUAACAC